rnacentral:rRNA from 1 species
UGGGGAAUCUUGGACAAUGGGGGCAACCCUGAUCCAGCGAUGCCGCGUGAGUGAAGAAGGCCUUCGGGUCGUAAAGCUCUUUAGGUUGGGAAGAAGGGCGUAUGGUGAACAGCCAUGCGCAUUGACGGUACCAACAGAAUAAGCACCGGCAAACUCUGUGCCAGCAGCCGCGGUAAUACAGAGGGUGCGAGCGUUAAUCGGAAUUACUGGGCGUAAAGGGCGUGUAGGCGGUGACAUGAGUGUGAUGUGAAAGCCCUGGGCUUAACCUAGGAAGUGCAUUGCAAACGAUGUUACUGGAGUAUAUGAGAGGGUGGCGGAAUUUCCGGUGUAGCGGUGAAAUGCGUAGAGAUCGGAAGGAACGUCGAUGGCGAAGGCAGCCACCUGGCAUAAUACUGACGCU